CAGUCAGCAGCUCAGGCCCUCAGGAAGGGGCUGAGCAAACAGUUCAAUAAAAGGUCCAGGCCCUGGGUCAGGGCGGGUCAGCAACCAAUCAGGAG